rnacentral:snRNA from 1 species
UGAUCUCAGCAAUGGUGAUCUC